AAGUCGUAACAAGGUUUCCGUAGGUGAACCUGCGGAAGGAUCAUUAACAAACAGCGAAGCACGCACGAUGUGUCAUGAAGUGUGCUGAUGGUGUCCCGGUGGGGAGUGGGGGCGCAGCAUGAAAAACGAUUGUCAGACAAAUAUUACGUAUACAACAACAACAACUUUUAACAAUGGAUCUCUUGGCUCUU
rnacentral:misc_RNA from 1 species